rnacentral:lncRNA from 1 species
UGUGGGGUAAAAGUGAUGUGUUUUUUCAUGAUCCCAGUAAACUGAAUAAAAGCAAAAAAAGCCCCAAAACUCGUAAUGUGCCUCACAUAUCUUUUUCUCAACUAGGGAUAUGAAGAGGAUGUAUUGACUUUUUAAUGAAUUUCAAGUUCCACAAAUGGGAGCCUUUCAGGAUCAAAAUAUUAGGGCCAUUUCUGCUGCUGGUCCAUGCUCACACUCAGCACUUCAGCUGGCAGCUGCCUGCAGGCACCAGAGGAUGCCCAAGCAUCUGUCUUUCACUGAAAUGGAGGAUACUUUUUCAGAGGGUGAGAGGACACUUCAUUCCCUGCAUGCCUGGGAGAAAGAUUUGUCUUCCCCUGGGGAGGAGAAGCCUCUGGAGGCACCUGCCUCUUGUUGCCUUGACUCACAGUACACAUUGUCAUCCUGAAGGAGAAAUUCCUUCCAGGGCUUUGAGGCCACGUGGGUUGCCCCCCAGCGCCAGCGCAGUGCUGCUCCUCCUGCUUCACUGGAUACUUCCCUGGACUCAGAGAUGAUAUUUUCACAUGGCCACUGUAGCAGCCUUUCCACAUGUGCCACUGGAGAGGAUGCUUCACAGUCCCCAGGAUCAUCUCCUUGUGAUACAGGACGAACGACUCAGCCAGCAGCAACCACCUUCUUCCAAGGUACUGGGAAGCUGGGGAACUCUGUUCUAGUUUUCACCAUUUUUGGCCCCAAACUUGGCUGCUCUGAACCUAACUCAGUACGAUAGCUGUCCCGCAGAGUGUAGGAAACUCGGAAAUGCUAUGUGUAGAUCCUGAAUUGUUUACCAGAGAGAAAAUUUAAAUCUUCUUCCUUUUAGGGGACCAAGGAUCUGGAGAGGAAACUUCAAGAUGCUUCUCCUUGUACAGGUUUUAUGCGUGCAGUACAUAAGCCUCAGCCCUUCACUUACAAACUCCUGAUGGACUUCCCACUCCUGCAGUUGUGGGUAUGAUUUGACACUGGUUAGGAUGCUAUUGCUUGAUUUUUCUUCUUCAUUUCCAUAUCUUCUCCAGGAAAAACGCAAAAAAGCCACUGCAGAGUACAGGGGACAGAGUAAGACAGCACUCAGUGUCACUGGGAAAAGUGUGGGAAAGGAAGAGCCCCUUAUGGUAUGGAGGUAGGAUGUAUGGAGACCAUUGCCAGCGAACUCUUCCCCCACAGCAAUGCCUUGCAAGUGUCGUGGUCAUCUGCAAGUGACAACAGAGACACAUCUUGCUCUCAACUGCAUCUCAUCACAUCGCAUCAGCGUGUAACUGCACUCAUAGAGUCUCCCACAUCCAAAGAGAACUGGCUCUGCACUGAAAAUGUCCCCUGUUACACCCACAGGAACUCUGGAUGCAGGAAAUACUCUGUCAAAAUGGAAUGGUCCAGGUUAUGGCUUGAUUGAACGAUUUAUCAUUUUUGAAAGGCAUGACAGCUGGUGUGAACUUUUGUAUCAGGUAUCAGCGUUCCCCACUCCAAAUACUUCCAUGUGACUGGCUUUGGUUAAAGAAGGCACUCUUGCUGAAUUUAAUUAGCUGGAAACACAAUUUAAGGGCAGAAACCAUCCCUUCUUGUUACCAAGGAAGAUGGCCUGGAGCGUUGCUCUGUGCCCAAGAGUCUCCCUAGCACAGCUUUCUGGCUGAGAAAACAAUGUGCUACAUCCAGGAAAAAUAUGAAGGCUAUAUCCGUGCCUAGAAACUGUCACACUGGUAUCUUUAUAAAUUGUACUGAUGUAAAAACAAAGUGCCUUAAUUUAAUUACUUGUGUUUUCCUUGGUUAGUGUAAGACAAGUUCGGGGAGGGGGGGUAUCUGAGGACCUUUUUCCUAUCAAACUAUCUUGAAAGGCCGAGGCCUCUAAGCAGACCCUGUCUGCUCUGCAGAGAUAUAGACACACACUUUUUGAGCAGACCCAUGCCCCAAGCGUGUGAGGGCAGUGCAUCCCCCUGCCACAAAUCUGCAGGGAAAGAGGGAGAGAGAGCUUCCCCUGGCUUGAUGCUGCUCCAUGGGCUGGUGUGGUGGCAGGAGCAUAGGGUUCCCUGCACCACACAGCUGAGAGGCUGCUGUGCCCUUGCGAGGAGGUAGAUGAGGCUUUAGUAAGAGGGUAAUAAUGGUUUCUAACCCUUCUGCUGGUCACGCAGAGGAAGAAGACUCUUUGCAGCCAUAUAUCUUAGUAGAAGGUGCACCAAGUAUGGAAACGCAUCUUGAAGGAAAACAGGUGCUUUCAUUUGGCAUUUCUGAAAAAAAUAAAUGGAUGCUGACAAUCCA